UCGCAUCUGUGCAUGCAGCAUAUCAAUAAGCGGAGGAAAAGCAGGCUACUACCUACGCUUAGGAUGUUGAAGAUAUGCGCGACAAAACGGCUCUAUACAUGACUCUGUGCAUAUCAAUAAGCGGAGGAAAAGAAACUAACUAGGAUUCCCCUAGUAACGGCGAGUGAAGCGGGAAGAGCUCAAAUUUGAAAUCUUAAGAGGGUUUCCCUUUACGAAUUGUAGUUUAAAGAAGUGUUUUCUGUUGAGGUUUUGGUAAAAGUUCUUUGGAAUAGGACAUCAUAGAGGGUGAGAAUCCCGUAUUUGACCUUUACUUUCAACUUUGUGAUACAACUUUCAAAGAGUCGGAUUGUUUGGGAAUGCAGUCCAAAAUGGGUGGUAAAUUUCAUCUAAAGCUAAAUAUUGGCGAGAGACCGAUAGCGAACAAGUACCGUGAGGGAAAGAUGAAAAGAACUUUGAAAAGAGAGUUAAACAGUACGUGAAAUUGUCAAAAGGGAAGCGUUUGACACCAGUGUUGUUUUUCUGAAAAUCAAUUAAAGAACUGUUUAUGCUAAGUUGUUUAGACUUUAUCAGCUAUCUGCUUAGUUUUGAGCUUUUCUUUAAUGCACUUUUCAGUUAACAAGUCAACAUCAAUUUCUUUUGCUGUAAAAAAGCUUGAGGAAGGUGGCUUGAGAUUCGUCUUAAGUGUUUAUAGCCUCUUGCCUAUGCAGUCGGAGAGAUUGAGGUCUGCAGCGUAGAUCCUUCGGGGCUAAAUGCAUUUGUGCUAAGUUAUAGCAUUUUAUAGACAACUUGUUGACUAUGAUUUGUCUUGUAGCUUACUCGCUUAUGUUAUUUUACCUACGCUUAGGAUGUUGAGCGCAUGUCUCUCUCU
rnacentral:rRNA from 1 species